rnacentral:lncRNA from 1 species
CCUUCAAGUCAAAUCUAUCAUUUAAUCCUCUUCUUUAGUGUGCAUUGAAUGCUAACACCUUUCAUUCAGUACUUCAACAUAAGCUCUAAAAACGAGUGCCUUUUUGUUUUUAUAAGAAUAUAACCAUACUAUCACUUCUAUCCAAAACACAUGAAUUUCUUAGUAUUAGCAUCCAAUUUUCUCUUAAUAUUUCAUAUGUGGUUUUUUGUUUUUUUCCCUUUCUUCCCUGGAUUCGUUUGAAUCAGGUUCCAAACAGGGCCUGCUCAUUCUUUCUGGUUGAUAGGUCUCGAGUACUAUUUAAUUUAUGUCUUUCUCCCUUUUCUCUUUAUCUUGCUCUUCUUUUUCUCCUGUUCUCUCUUUUCUUCCUCCCUCCCUCCCUUCCCAUUUAUUAGUGAGGAAACCAGGUCAUUGGUCCUGUAGAAUUUUCCCACAGUUUGCAUUUUGUUGGUUGCAAUCCCCUGAUGCUAUUCUAACCCAUUCCUUUGUUUCAUGUAUUUCCUAUAAACUAGUAAUUAGGUCUAAAGACUUGAUGGGAUUCAGUUUUCUUUUUUUUUUUGGUGCUGGGGAUCCAACCCAGGUCCUUGUGCAUGAGACAUGAGAGGCCAGCCCUCUACCAACUGAGCUACAUCCCCAACCCUGGGAUUCAGUUUUGAUAUUUGGGGCAUCAGUACUCCAUAGGUGGUACCGUACUGUAUUUUUCCACCAGAAGCCACUUGUUGUUUGGCUGUGGUUUUUCUCUUUCAUGUUAACCAGUAGGGGCAGCAUGAAACAUCAUGAGAGAUAGUGAUUUCCUAUUUCUUUCAUCGUUUUCUUAUUUUUUGGAAGAAUUAUUCUCUCAGUAACUAUUUGAUAACUCAAAGACAAUACUCUUACAAGAAAGACAGCCCUAUUUUCACUUGAGGAGGACAGGGUGUUUAGAGACUAUAACCUUUGCAAGGAGUGCUUAUCGCUGUUUAACUGAUGAUUAUGUCUUUUCAGUGGAUGAACCUAGAAGUGCACAUUUUUUUAAAAUGUGGAGUUUAUCAUGAAUUUAUACUGAUAUUUCAAAUUCAAAUUUAGGUUUGCAAAAUUGCUUUUUAAUUUUCUAUUAUAUCUCUUUUUCUCUAAUAUUAUAAGGUUGUGUUCCAAGUGAUAGUAACAUAAAUCCCUUUUGCUUUGGGAAGUUUAGCCUAAAGCCUGCUUCUUUAGCUCUCCUGAAGAUUUUGUAAGUGUUUAAAAUCUUGGGAAAAAAAAUCCUUUCUCCAUAAACCAUUUGAAGUGGAUCUUUUCAUCUUCACCUGAAUCCUGACAGAGCAAACUGCAGGCAGGUGGGGAGGGGCUGUUCAGGUCUCUGUAGUACAACUGCUCACAGCUACACCAAAGGAUGUCAAGGGUUCUCCGCUGAAGGAAUCACAAAGGUAUUAAAAGGAGAACCACAUUGCUCAGUCUUUUCUAUCUUUGUACAAGUCCUAAUUCACUAAAAAGUAUGUUUCUAUUUUUCAAAAGCAUUCUUUCUCUCUCUCUCUCCUUAUUCUCCUGCCCUAAAUCAGAUUCUGGAGAACACAUUAGAUCCGGCCCAGAGCAAGUGAACAGAGUCUUCUUCUAGCUCUGGACAAGAACCCAGUCAUUUUAGCAAAGGCUGCCAGAGGUCAUCCCAUCACUGCUUCAGGGUGGAUAAUGAGGCGUCUUGGGGGUGAGUGCAUACGGUGUAAGUGUCAGAAAGCUGCAUCUGUUGCUUGCUCCGAGGGCCUGGAGGGUCAAGUCACAUGAGUACGAUAUUUUCAUAAUAUUCUUCUGCAUCUUCGUCAUCGGAGCCGACUUUUCCAUCUGAGUCAACUGGCAGCUGUGUCUUCACCUCAGAGUAGACUAUCAAGGCAUGCUGGGACAGAAAGAAGACAGCGGAGGAACUUGAAAGGGUGAGAAGGAAAGGGCUGGAGGUGGUGGUGACAGAGGGAAAUGAGGCUCACCUUGUCCUCUGGAGGCAUCCAGGGGGUGUUACCUGUGGAGGACAAGGGAACCAUAAGAAUUCACUUAGAGCCCAGUCUGCCAACGUAUUUCCUAGAUCGGGGGCGGGGGGGGUCACUGGGCCCUCUCCAUCAAUGUCGUGUUUUCCCCACCCCAACAUAUCUUUUGAUUUUCUAUUUUACCUUUUUCUUUCUUUCUUUUCUUAUUGGCUCAUAUCCUAUUAGUUAUGCAUAGCAUUAGGUGUUUUACCAUUUCUUUUUUUAAUUUACCAUUUCUCAACUAAGCCCUCUGCAAGUUCUUCUCAAGCUUCAUUGAUCUGUAAAACUCUCCCUCAUCACAUGAAGAAACUUCACUUCUUCUUCUACCAGAUGUUGAGAGAAUAUUUUUCUCCUUGUUUAAUUCGUUGUACUUUUAAUUUAGAGUACAUCCACCACACUGUCCUGGAUGGUUUGGCAAGUUCUCAUAAAACUCUCUAUAUGUGUUGCCCGGUGAGGAAAACUCUCACGUUAUCAUGUUCUAGUUCUUGAUUUUAUUGCUAUAUUUUUUUUAGAGGUGGAGUCACAGAGAAAGAAAGUUUAGCAGAUGUGAUUUCUUGGUUCACGAAUAUUGGAAUUUAAGAGUCUCAGGGGAAAAAAAGUAGAAUCGUUAAAGCACCAUAAUAAUUUUAUGGAGAACUAGAACAUGAAAAGGAGAUAUAUCUUGGGGCACCUGAAGUUUCUGUUUCACCAUGUUCCUACCCAUACACUUUUGGAAUUACAGACAUUGUUAGUGAAGUGAUAAAAAGUGUCCAUUCCUCCUGCAAAUGGACAGAGCUUUGCUUAUGAUCUCAGGGCCUUUAUGAAAACCUGAAGGAACAAGUGAAAAGGGUUUUCUACAGCUCAUUAAUACAUCAAGUGCCUGAAAUAUAACCAAUCCAUUAACAAAAAUGGUGUUUGGGCCAAUGUGUUAAGGAUACAGUGGAAAGAUGAUAGAGGAAAAACUGUAUAAGAUAGAUGCACUCAACCAACCCAAACAAAUGAUUAGUGGUUCUGAUUCUACUAUUCAGCGGGUCCUGGCCAAUGGCUGGCUCAGGGAGCAAAGAGACAAAGCAGAUGAUCAGGUGAUACAUUAUUGGUCAAGCAGGAAUCGGUUGUACAAGCAGCAAAUAUUAAAUAAAGACAGAAGACUUUGUCUUAGCUUUGUGUUUUACAGGCUUUGUGACCUUGGGAAAGGACUUAACCACUACUUCAUUUGCAAAACAGGCUCAGUGUUAGAUUAUGAAUGAAAUUCCCACAAGGCACAGAGAUACUAGAGGUUUACAUUCUCAGAUGAGAUGCCAUAUUUAGAUUUAUUAAAAAAUAAUAGUUUGUUUCUUUGACUCUAAGAGUCUGGGUUAAUCAAUCAAAUUAAGGAAAUAUGGAGAGAGAUUUAAAAAAAAAAGAUUUGUUGAACAGAUUUCUUUAGAAGGAGAGAUCGGUUUCUGUGCAAUGAGUUUCUACCCAGAAGUUUUAUUGGGAGUGUGUGCAUGCGUGUGUGCGUGCGUGUGUGUGUGUGUGUGUGUGUGUGUGUGUUUAGGGAAUGGGGAAAUGAUGCUUUAUAAGCCCCCAGCGUGGUGAAGGAGCCUUCAGAGAUUCAUCUUAGAAACUGAAAAGUGAUUUCCCUGAUUUGGAAAAUAAAUAGCAUAUACCAAAAAAAAA